GUGCACAUAUACUAAAAUUGGAACCAUACAGAGCAGAUUAGAAUGGCCCCUGUGCAAGGAUGACAUGCAAAAUCAUGGAGUAUUUCAUAUUUUU
rnacentral:snRNA from 1 species